rnacentral:rRNA from 1 species
AUGUACAUUCCUACAACGUUAAUGCAAUGGAUCCCAUUAGAACUCCACAAUUAAGCACACUUGGGAUAGAGUAAUACUCGGAUGGGUGACCUUUCGAGAAUUCCUAGUGUUUUACAUG